rnacentral:rRNA from 1 species
AUGGAAUUGAUUUAAUUUUUAUUAAGUAUUUAAUUAAAUAUCUAAGAAAUAUCUUUAAAAUGGUUUUAGUAUAAUUUUUAUUGAAAUAAUAAUUUGAUUAAUAGUUAAUUAUGUUGUGGAAUAUGAUUUGAAAUAUUUUGAUAAUUUUUUUGAUUAUAAGCAAAUUUAAUUAGUUGUACCUUUUGUAUCAGGGUGGAUUUAUAUAUUAAUAAUAAUUUUAUUUAUCUCGAUUUAAUAAGAGUUAAUAUUAUAUGACUUUUAAUGUUUAAUCAUUAUUUUUAAUUUAAUAUUAGAGGUGAUAAACCAUUCGUUUAUUAAGGUAUCUAGUUUUUUAAGAAAUGAAUUUAAUUCAGUUAAUUUAUUUUAAUAAUUUGAUUUGAUAAUUUAUUAUUAUUAAUUAAUAAAUUGUAAAGGGUUUAGCUUUUACUAUUAAUUAUAAUUUUAUUUAAUUUUAAUAUUUUAUAAGCUUGAAAUUGGCUAAUAUAAUGAAGGAUGUUAUAAUUUAUUAUUGAUUUUAUAUAAUUUUUAUGUAUUUAAUUUUAUAUUAAAAUUAAAUUUUCAAUUUUAAUUAAUUUGAAUUAGUGAUUCAAUUAGUAUAAUAUUGGUGUAUAAAUUAAUGUUUAAGGUAAGUUUAAUAAAGGAACUAGGCAAAUACAUAUAUUUAUAUAUAUAUAAUUUACUCGCCUGUUUAACAAAAACAUGUCUUCAUGAUCAUAAUUAUAUGAAGUCGUACCUGCCCAAUGAUAUAAUUUAAUGGCCGCGGUAUUUUGACCGUGCAAAGGUAGCAUAAUAAAUUGUCUAUUAAAUGUGGACUAGAAUGAAAGGUUUGACGAGGUAUAAACUGUCUCUUUUGUAUUUAUAUUAGAACUUGAAUUUUAAGUUAAAAUGCUUUAAAUUUUAUUGUAGGACGAGAAGACCCUAUAGAGUUUUAUGUUAAUAGGUUUAAUUUAUAUUAGGAUUUUUUAAUUACAUUAAUUUUAUACACAUUUUGUUGGGGUGACAGGAAGAUUAUUAUAACUCUUUUUUUUUAUUUACAUUAAUUAGUGAUUUUUAGUUGAUCCAGAUAUUCUGAUUAUAAGAUUAAAUUACCUUAGGGAUAACAGCGUAAUAUUUUUUGAGAGUUCUUAUCGACAAGAAAGAUUGCGACCUCGAUGUUGGAUUAAGGUUAAAUUUUGGUGCAGAAGCUUAAAAUUUAGGUCUGUUCGACCUUUAAAUCCUUACAUGAUCUGAGUUCAGACCGGUGUAAACCAGGUCGGUUUCUAUCCUCUUUUUAUUUUCUUAUUUUAGUACGAAAGGACCAAAUUAGAUCAUUAAAUGUUUAUUAUCUGAUUAAAAUUAAUUU